ACCCCCUUUUCCUUUUAUGUUGAGAGCUAAAAAAGACAAAGCUUGGCAGCAGGUUUUAUUUAGAUCAAAUCUCAAUUGGGAACAGUAAAUGAUUGGUGGCUUAAACCAAAUUAAAAUGAAGGCA
rnacentral:sRNA from 1 species